AUUGAACGCUGGCGGCAGGCCUAACACAUGCACGUCGAACGAGUGGCGGACGGGUGAGUCAUGUCUGGGAAACUGCCUGAUGGCGGGGGAUAACUACUGGAAACGGUAGCUAAUACAGCAUACCAUCAGAUGUGCCCAUAUGGGAUUAGCUUGUUGGUGGGGUAACGGCUCACCAAGGCGACGAUCCCUAGCUGGUCUGCGAGGAUGACCAGCCACCCUGUAACUGAGCCACGGUCCAAGCUCCUACGGGCGGCAUCAGUGGGGAAUAUUGCACAAGGGGCGCAAGCCUGAUGCAGCCAUGCCGCGUGUAUGAAGAAGGCCUUCGGGUUGUAAAGUACUUUCAGCGGGGAGGCGUUACCCGCAGAAGAAGCACCGGCUAACUCCGUGCCAGCAGCCGCGGUAAUUC
rnacentral:rRNA from 1 species